AUUUUGUUAGCAGCUUUGACGUUCCACGUAUGUCAAAUUUUAUCUAAUUUGCUUUGGGGGAGCAAUUGCUUUAACGAAGACACAUCUUGUUGCAAUGCGGAGUAAGUAAAACUGCCAACAACUGAUGAAGGGUUGUCGUUUUUUUUUAUAUGCUGCCUUCACGCUAUAGUUCUCUAUGUAAUUAAAAUUCUUCCUCUCCUUCAGAAAGCCAAGCCAAGCCAAGCCAAGCCAAGCCAAGCCUCCUGUUUAUAGUGGUUGGACCAAAGCCAUAGCGCUCGCUGUGGUCUGGUAGCCGCGGACAGUGAGCCCAAUGGCGCCCAGAGCGAGCUCUGGUCGCCAUAGCGCUCGCUGUGGUCUCGUAGCCGCGGACAGUGAGCCCAAUGGCGCCCAGAUCCCAGCUCACCAUACUCCUUAUACCCUAAGUAAGUCAUGUGUAAAAUUUGAAUGAAAUUGGUUGUGUAGUUCUCAAGUUUUAGGGAAACACACAGACAGACAGACACACAUUCUCAGAUACAUAAAAGAAUGAGAGUGGGUGAUGUUUUGUUUGUUGGACCAAUGUAUUAAGGUAGUAUUGUUUUAUUGUUUUAAAACGAAAGAGGCAAUGUGUUUGUUUCAAAAAUAAAAAAGACAAACGUCCGCCAAUGGGAAGACAGUUCAUAUUCGAUUAAAGCACUCUGGGUAUAAUCAUAAAAGUGAAAAAUGGAAUUUUUAGGCAAAUCAAACAGUGAAAAAACAAAAACAUUAAAAAAAAUAUAAUAUAGAAAAUAUAAAAUUGAUAAAUUUAAAUUAAAUUGAAAAUAAAAAUUAUUAAAUUAUAUUUAUAAUUUGUUUAAAAAUAUAUAUAACUAUGAAAAAGUAUGAAAAAGUUUAAUAUACAUAAAUACAGAUAUAUACACUUUGUAUAUAUACAUUAUAUAUACAUAUUUAUAUAUAGAACACACACACACACAUACAUUAUAUAUACAUAUUUAUAUAUAGAACACACACACACACACACACAUACAUUAUAUAUACAUAUUUAUAUAUAGAACACACACACACAUACAUAUAAAUGAACGCAAGAAUAUCUGAUUCAUAAUAUUUGUUCUCAUGCUCGUGUGUUGUUGGUGACAGACAGAUACGUAAAAGAACGCCGAUGUAAUGGGAAGGUAAGAAACAGAGUGAGUGAAAAAGAGAGGAAAUAGCGAGAGUGACAGAUACUUUAAAUAAGUACUUAUCAAAGUUAUAUAUGAAGGGGAGUGAGAGGGUACUGGAGGAAAUAGCGUGAGUGAGGAAGAAGGCCCCUAGCAACCACACCUUUUAAGAUAGGGAUUUCUAAGGUAGCCCACGAGCUUCGUCACCUAUUUCUACAUGUCCCUGUAAAUUUUGGAGUGAAUCGGACGGGACGUAGUGGCAUUGAAAGCGAUCCAAGCGGUAUAUAUAUAUAUAUAUAUAUAUAUAUAUAUAAAGCUAAAGUUGUCUGGAUAUAUGUAUGUAUGUGUGUGUGUGUAUACGUAUGUAUGUGUAGAGACCUCUUUUAGCUCCACCUGAGUUUUGAAACUGAAUUGGUAAAUUUCCCCCUAACUAUAGAGCCUUAUUGUUCUGUUGAGGAACAAUGUUGGUUUAUUCAACCGAUGGCCUUCCCAACAUUUGAUUGAUGUAUUUUCCUCUUGACCCAUAACCCUUGUAGUUUGUAAAGGGUUUAAAUAAAUAAUAUAAGGGAUCUUUACCCUUUCAACGGCAGAUCGAGAAAUAUAUUUUUUGUAACUAAACACUUUCAACCUUCGGACACUAACCCUAACCCUAAUGUGUCAUAUAAAGCAUAUUUUACUUUUAAUGUUACUCUUGACCGCGGCCAUGCUGGAGCAUCGCCUUUAAUCGAGCAACUCGACCCCGGGACUUAUUCUUUUUGUAAGCCCAGUACUUAUUCUAUCCUUGACCAAUCAUAUUUUCUGUUUUCAUUUGAAAUUAUUAGCUGCAUAGUGUUAAUGUGACGUAGAUAGCUAUUUUGUGAGUGAGUAAGCAGUAAGCAAACAGCUGUGGUAGAUGUGGUUAUCAUGGCAGUGGUGGUGGUGGUGACAGUGGAUAUGUAUGAUGGCAGCAAUUAUAGUGUUGGUGUUUUUGUAGAGGUGGUGGUGGUGGUGGUGGCGGCAGUGGAUGAUGAUGAUCAUGAUAGUAGUAGUAGCAUUGAUUAUGUUAGGAUGUCUCAUGGAUGGUAGUGUUGGUGUGUGUGUGUGUGUGUGUGUGUGUGUGUGUGUAUGUAUGGAUCAAAACAGUUUGAUCCAAAUUCUGUGGUACUUAUAUAUUCAUACAUACAUAUACAUGUAGAUGUAUAUAUCAUAUAUAUAUUGUAUGUAAACAUAUUUUAUAUAUAUAUAUAAUGUAUGCAUCUAUAAUACACACACAUUAUAAAUAUAUACACAUAUAUGCAUAUGCAUUAGAAUAUGUGUGUAUAGGUGUAUAUAUAUAUAUAUAUAUAUAUAUAUAUAUAUGCAUAUGUUUGUAUACAUGUGUGUGUAGC
rnacentral:lncRNA from 1 species